UGGAUCCAGACUCUGAUCCCGGCUCAGGACGAACGCUGGCGGCGUGCCUAACACAUGCAAGUCGAGCGGGGACAUUCUGCUUCGGCGGGAUGUUCCACCGGCGGACGGGUGAGUAACGCGUGAGCAAUCUGUCCCAUACAGGGGGAUAACAGCUGGAAACAGGUGCUAAUACCGCAUGAGACCACAACGCCGCAUGGCGAAGGGGUCAAAGGAGCAAUCCGGUAUGGGGUGGGCUCGCGUCCCAUUAGGUAGUUGGUGAGGUAACGGCCCACCAAGCCGACGAUGGGUAGCCGACCUGAGAGGGUGAUCGGCCACACUGGAACUGAGACACGGUCCAGACUCCUACGGGAGGCAGCAGUGGGGAAUAUUGGGCAAUGGGCGAAAGCCUGACCCAGCAACGCCGCGUGAGGGAAGAAGGUUUUCGGAUUGUAAACCUCUGUCCUUGGUGACGAAGGAAGUGACGGUAGCCAAGGAGGAAGCCCCGGCUAACUACGUGCCAGCAGCCGCGGUAAUACGUAGGGGGCGAGCGUUGUCCGGAAUGACUGGGCGUAAAGGGCGCGUAGGCGGCUUUUUAAGUUAGGAGUGAAAGUCCUGCUUUCAAGGUGGGAAUUGCUUUUAAUACUGGAAGGCUUGAGUGCAGAAGAGGUAAGUGGAAUUCCCAGUGUAGCGGUGAAAUGCGUAGAGAUUGGGAAGAACACCAGUGGCGAAGGCGACUUACUGGGCUGUAACUGACGCUGAGGCGCGAAAGCGUGGGGAGCAAACAGGAUUAGAUAGCGGGGUAGCCCACGCGGUAAACGAUGAAUGCUAGGUGUAGGGGGUAUCGACCCCUCCUGUGCCGGAGUCAACACAAUAAGCAUUCCGCCUGGGGAGUACGGCCGCAAGGUUGCAACUCAAAGG
rnacentral:rRNA from 1 species